UUUCCUACGGGAGGCUGCAGUGGGGAAUUUUGGACAAUGGGCGCAAGCCUGAUCCAGCAAUGCCGCGUGCAGGAAGAAGGCCUUCGGGUUGUAAACUGCUUUUGUACGGAACGAAACGGUCUGGGUUAAUACCCUGGGCUAAUGACGGUACCGUAAGAAUAAGCACCGGCUAACUACGUGCCAGCAGCCGCGGUAAUACGUAGGGUGCAAGCGUUAAUCGGAAUUACUGGGCGUAAAGCGUGCGCAGGCGGUUGUGUAAGAAAGGCGUGAAAUCCCCGGGCGCAACCGGGGAAUGGCGCUUGUGACUGCACAACUGGAGUGCGGCAGAGGGGGAUGGAAUUCCGCGUGUAGCAGUGAAAUGCGUAGAUAUGCGGAGGAACACCGAUGGCGAAGGCAAUCCCCUGGGCCUGCACUGACGCUCAUGCACGAAAGCGUGGGGAGCAAACAGGAUUAGAUACCCGUGUAGUC
rnacentral:rRNA from 1 species